GGCCCAGCUAUACAAGCUGUCUCAAAAAAAUUUGACAAACCAUUCAUUCGAUCUUCUAAUAACGUCUUAUGUGGAUCACAAUUUCUCGGUAUUAUCCAUUCUUCAAAAUACUACAAUUGUAAUAAAGAGAGCUAAAUACAGAUGUUCGACGGCUGAACUAGAAAACAGUAGCGGAUAAACAAUGCACAGUCGGUUUUAAAAGGAUUGACUAUGAAUUACAUGGAAAAGGUCAACCGGUUUCUUACAUGAAGUAAGAGUAAUUCUCUGCAACUUUAACUUUUCAACAACUACUUUGGAGAUGCCACAAACAACAAUCGAUGAAUUUUUAUAUGGCGCCUGAAAAACGAAGAAAAAGAUUUCUUUACGUUCGAUGUCUAUAUACUCUAUGUAGAUUGGAUUAAAUCGAAACUCUACUGAUAUAGUGAUGUGACCAAAACUCCACUAGGGAACUGGAAUUAUUGAGACUGGUGGGGGUUCAUGCAUAAUGCACAUAUAUAUUAUAAACUUACUUGUUGGUAUAGUAGAUAAUGUUAACAUUUAUUAUCCGGAACAAAUUUAACAAACGUUUUACAGAAAUA